AACGUAGGGGGCGAGCGUUGUCCGGAAUUACUGGGCGUAAAGCGCGCGUAGGUGGUUCGUUAAGUUGGAUGUGAAAGCCCCGGGCUCAACCUGGGAACUGCAUCCAAAACUGGCGAGCUAGAGUAUGGCAGAGGGUGGUGGAAUUUCCUGUGUAGCGGUGAAAUGCGUAGAUAUAGGAAGGAACACCAGUGGCGAAGCGACCACCUGGGCUAAUACUGACACUGAGGUGCGAAAGCGUGGGGAGCAAACAGGAUUAGAUACCCGGGUAGUCC
rnacentral:rRNA from 1 species